UGUGCUUUGUGCUUUAAGAUUCUCCCCGGCCCAACAGUCUGGUUCCAGCAGCGUGAGGUCUCCUCGAAUCCUGGAGAAUCAAACUGACUCCACCGUCCUGGAGUCUGCCAAGGAGCUGAUCAAUAGAAGCCGAGUUAUGAUAACCACAGUUAUCUGGCGGGACUACACCCGAGACAAAUACUCAAGGUGACUCUUCUCUCGAACUGCCACUUACACACAACUGUCCAAUGAAACCUGUACAGCAAAGACUCUGCGUCCAGCAGAACGGCAUGCCUUUCAUUCCACUGUCGAGACAGAAGUGAACUAACAGAAGAAUACAAGAACCAGAGGACCUCUGUGGAGAAGCUGACUGCGCCGCUGGCCACACAAAAGGCUCCUUUGAAACAAAUGAGUUCUGCCUGGCGAGCGGCGGGGACCCACUUGCCACAGCUCGCACCUGCACACCUCUGCCUUCCUCUUUUCACAGCCCCAGGGUCUUCCCGCCCAGUCCUUCCCUCUCCCCAUCUGGUAGGAAAUUUCAAUUUUAAAAAGCCCCACGUGCCUCAGCAAAACACGCGGCCCGCGGAGGCAGGGAUGCACGGAGCCUGUCACGUGUCCCUCUAAGUCCCCUCCCCAUGUCCUCUGAACUCUCCUGAAAGUUGCCGGUAACUCAUGUUUCCCGGGCUUCAUAGACCAUCUUCAUGCUGUUUUUUUCACAUACCCUCACGUGAUAAUGCACACUUAACACGUUUCUUUAUACUGACUCCCUUCUUUACUUAAAUACAUUGUAAAAGGAGAUAUUUUUUAUCCUUGCCAUAAAUGGAAAACUAAUGUUUUCCUAAUACACGUUGAAAGAAUAACUAAAAUUAAAAAAAAAAAGUUGACCUAUGAACUGCCUAAAACUCUUAUAACAGAAUUGCUGUUUACAUUUUACUAGAAGGCAAGGUGACCAUGGUGUCUUUCAGCACUGGUGUAUCUGUGAGCUUUGCACUGCGAUUCAGGACAAGACUAGCCCGGGGAGUGGCAGGGUGGCCGGCAGUGGCUUUGUCCUGGGGCUGGAGGUUCUGCUGGGGUGAGAACUCCCAUGCAAAACA